AGCGAACGCUGGCGGCAGGCUUAACACAUGCAAGUCGAGCGGGCAUCUUCGGGUGUCAGCGCCGGACGGGUGAGUAACGCGCGGGAACGUGCCUUCUGGCUCGGUAUAACUCAGGGAAACCUGAUCUAAUACCGGAUACGUGCUUUUUGGGUAAAGGUUUACUGCCGUAAGAUCGGACGGCGUCUGGUUAGCUAGUUGGUGGGGUAACGGUCUACCAAGGCGACGAUCAGUAGCUGGUCUGAGAAGAUGAUCAGCCUGACUGGGACUGAGCCACGGCCCAGGCUCCUACGGGAGGCGGAAGUGGAGAAUAUUGGACAAUGGGGUGAAGCCAGGUCCGGCCAUGCCGCGUGAGUGAUGAGGGGCUUAGGGUGGUAAAGCUUUUUUAUCCGGGACGAUAAUGACGGUACAGGAGGAAUAAGCCGCGGCUAACUUCGUGCCAGCCGCCGCCGUAA
rnacentral:rRNA from 1 species